ACAGUCACACAUUAGAUACCCGUGUAGUCCUGGCCGUAAACGAUGUGGACUUGGUGUUGGGAUGGCUCCGAGCUGCCCCAGUGCCGGAGAGAAGUUGUUAAGUCUGCUACUUGGGAGUACGUCCGCAAGGAUGAAACUUAAAGGAAUUGGCGGGGGAGCACCGCAACGGGAGGAGCGUGCGGUUUAAUUGGAUUCAACACCGUAAAACUCACCAGGGAAGACUGUUACAUGAAAGCCGAGAUGAAGACUCUGCUAGAUUUUCAG
rnacentral:rRNA from 1 species